CGCUGAACUUAAGCAUAUCAUUAAGCGGAGGAAAGAAACUAACAAGGAUUCCCCCAGUAACGGCGAGUGAAGCGGGAAGAGCUCAAGCUUAAAAUCUCCAUACUUGUAUGGCGAAUUGUAGUCUAUUGAGGCUGUUGUCAGCAUCGCGAUUGGGGACAAGUCCCUUGGAAAAGGGCAGCAUGGAGGGUGAUACUCCCGUCUCUGCUCCAAUCUGCGGUGUGUACGAUACGCUUUCUUUGAGUCGAGUUGUUUGGGAAUACAGCUCAAAGUAGGUGGUAAAUUCCAUCUAAAGCUAAAUAUUGGUGCGAGACCGAUAGCGAACAAGUACCGUGAGGGAAAGAUGAAAAGAACUUUGAAAAGAGAGUUAAAGAGUACCUGAAACUGUUGAAAGGGAACCGUAUCGUUUCCAGUGUUGUAUCCUAUGCAUAUUUCAUUCGUGGAGUAAUUUACGGGUGCCCUGUGCAUGGGUGUGACGUCAGGGUCAGUUUGUAUGCUGCGGGAGAUGGUCAGUGAGGAGGUGCGUCACUUCGGUGAAAGUUAUAUCUCGCUGUCUAGUAGCCGUGGUUGAGACUGAGGUGCCUACAACAUGCCUUAAGGUUCUAUGUUGUCUCGUGUUGGUGACUGCUUUGAUAGCUUGCUAUGUCUGUGGUUUAUUAAUGCGAUUGAUGAUGUGGAUAACUUUUGCUGUUCGGGACUCUGGCGAAAUGGAGCGAUACGACCCGUCUUGAAACACGGACCAAGGAGUCUAACAUGUGUGCAAGUAUUAGGGCGUGGAAACCCAAAUGCGUAAUGAAAGUAAAUGCUGCUUAUGCAGCUGUGGUAGGAAAGGGCUGUCAAGGUCCUGGCACUAUCGACCGAUCAUGAGCCUACGGGCAAAAGAUUUGAGUAUGAGCAUAUAUGUUGGUACCCGAAAGAUGGUGAACUAUGCCUGAAUAGGGUGAAGCCAGGGGAAACUCUGGUGGAAGCUCGUAGCGAUUCUGACGUGCAAAUCGAUCGUCAAAUUUGGGUAUAGGGGCGAAAGACUAAUCGAACCAUCUAGUAGCUGGUUCCCUCCGAAAUUUCCCUCAGGAUAGCAGCAACUUUUUACGAUAGUUUUAUGAGGUAAAGCGAAUGAUUAGAGGCCUCGGGGAAGAAACUUCCUCGACCUAUUCUCAAACUUUAAAUGGGUAAGACCUGUGGGUUUCUUAAUUGAACCUGUGGACGUGAAUAUCCAAGUUGUUAGUGGGCCAUACCGGGUAAGCUGGUCUGGCG
rnacentral:rRNA from 1 species